rnacentral:rRNA from 1 species
CACGUAGGGUGCGAGCGUUGUCCGGAAUUAUUGGGCGUAAAGAGCUCGUAGGCGGUGUGUCGCGUCGGCCGUGAAAACCUGCAGCUUAACUGUGGGCUUGCGGUCGAUACGGGCAUCACUGGAGUUCGGCAGGGGAGACUGGAAUUCCCGGUGUAGCGGUGGAAUGCGUAGAGAUCGGGAAGAACAUCAGUGGCGAAGGCGGCCUGCUGGGCUGUUGCUGACGCUGAGGAGCGAAAGCUAGGGGAGCAAACGGG